rnacentral:rRNA from 1 species
AUGAACGCUGGCGGCUUGCCUAAUACCUGCAAGUCGAGCGAACGGACGAGAAGCUUGCUUCUCUGAUGUUAGCGGCGGACGGGUGAGUAACACGUGGAUAACCUACCUAUAAGACUGGGAUAACUUCGGGAAACCGGAGCUAAUACCGGAUAAUAUUUUGAACCGCAUGGUUCAAAAGUGAAAGACGGUCUUGCUGUCACUUAUAGAUGGAUCCGCGCUGCAUUAGCUAGUUGGUAAGGUAACGGCUUACCAAGGCAACGAUGCAUAGCCGACCUGAGAGGGUGAUCGGCCACACUGGAACUGAGACACGGUCCAGACUCCUACGGGAGGCAGCAGUAGGGAAUCUUCCGCAAUGGGCGAAAGCCUGACGGAGCAACGCCGCGUGAGUGAUGAAGGUCUUCGGAUCGUAAAACUCUGUUAUUAGGGAAGAACAUAUGUGUAAGUAACUGUGCACAUCUUGACGGUACCUAAUCAGAAAGCCACGGCUAACUACGUG